UACGUAGGGUGCAGGCGUUAAUCGGAAUUACUGGGCGUAAAGCGUGCGCAGGCGGUUUCUUAAGUCAGAUGUGAAAGCCCCGGGCUUAACCUAGGAAUUGCGCUUGAGACUGGAUAGCUUGGAGUGCGGCAGAGGGAGGUGGAAUUCCACGUGUAGCAGUGAAAUGCGUAGAGAUGUGGAGGAACACCGAUGGCGAAGGCAGCCUCCUGGGCCAGCACUGACGCUCAUGCACGAAAGCGUGGGGAGCAAACAGG
rnacentral:rRNA from 1 species